rnacentral:rRNA from 1 species
AUGAACGCUAGCUACAGGCUUAACACAUGCAAGUCGAGGGGCAGCAUGGUCUUAGCUUGCUAAGGCCGAUGGCGACCGGCGCACGGGUGAGUAACACGUAUCCAACCUGCCGUCUACUCUUGGACAGCCUUCUGAAAGGAAGAUUAAUACAAGAUGGCAUCAUGAGUCCGCAUGUUCACAUGAUUAAAGGUAUUCCGGUAGACGAUGGGGAUGCGUUCCAUUAGAUAGUAGGCGGGGUAACGGCCCACCUAGUCUUCGAUGGAUAGGGGUUCUGAGAGGAAGGUCCCCCACAUUGGAACUGAGACACGGUCCAAACUCCUACGGGAGGCAGCAGUGAGGAAUAUUGGUCAAUGGGCGAGAGCCUGAACCAGCCAAGUAGCGUGAAGGAUGACUGCCCUAUGGGUUGUAAACUUCUUUUAUAAAGGAAUAAAGUCGGGUAUGGAUACCCGUUUGCAUGUACUUUAUGAAUAAGGAUCGGCUAACUCCGUGCCAGCAGCCGCGGUAAUACGGAGGAUCCGAGCGUUAUCCGGAUUUAUUGGGUUUAAAGGGAGCGUAGAUGGAUGUUUAAGUCAGUUGUGAAAGUUUGCGGCUCAACCGUAAAAUUGCAGUUGAUACUGGAUAUCUUGAGUGCAGUUGAGGCAGGCGGAAUUCGUGGUGUAGCGGUGAAAUGCUUAGAUAUCACGAAGAACUCCGAUUGCGAAGGCAGCCUGCUAAGCUGCAACUGACAUUGAGGCUCGAAAGUGUGGGUAUCAAACAGGAUUAGAUACCCUGGUAGUCCACACGGUAAACGAUGAAUACUCGCUGUUUGCGAUAUACUGCAAGCGGCCAAGCGAAAGCGUUAAGUAUUCCACCUGGGGAGUACGCCGGCAACGGUGAAACUCAAAGGAAUUGACGGGGGCCCGCACAAGCGGAGGAACAUGUGGUUUAAUUCGAUGAUACGCGAGGAACCUUACCCGGGCUUAAAUUGCAGAUGAAUUACGGUGAAAGCCGUAAGCCGCAAGGCAUCUGUGAAGGUGCUGCAUGGUUGUCGUCAGCUCGUGCCGUGAGGUGUCGGCUUAAGUGCCAUAACGAGCGCAACCCUUGUUGUCAGUUACUAACAGGUUCCGCUGAGGACUCUGACAAGACUGCCAUCGUAAGAUGUGAGGAAGGUGGGGAUGACGUCAAAUCAGCACGGCCCUUACGUCCGGGGCUACACACGUGUUACAAUGGGGGGUACAGAGGGCCGCUACCACGCGAGUGGAUGCCAAUCCCCAAAACCUCUCUCAGUUCGGACUGGAGUCUGCAACCCGACUCCACGAAGCUGGAUUCGGUAGUAAUCGCGCAUCAGCCACGGCGCGGUGAAUACGUUCCCGGGCCUUGUACACACCGCCCGUCAAGCCAUGGGAGCCGGGGGUACCUGAAGUGCGUAACCGCGAGGAGCGCCCUAGGGUAAAACUGGUGACUGGGGCU